rnacentral:rRNA from 1 species
GGGUUGUGAGGUUAAGCGAACAAGCGUACACGGUGGAUGCCCUGGCAGUCAGAGGCGAUGAAGGACGUGCUAAUCUGCGAAAAGCGCCGGUAAGGUGAUAUGAACCGUUAUAACCGGCGAUGUCCGAAUGGGGAAACCCGGUGCACUUCGGUGCAUCAUCGUUAGCUGAAUACAUAGGCUAACGAGGCGAACCGGGGGAACUGAAACAUCUAAGUACCCCGAGGAAAAGAAAUCAACCGAGAUUCCCCCAGUAGCGGCGAGCGAACGGGGAACAGCCCAGAGCCUGAAUCAGCUUGUGUGUCAGUGGAACGGUCUGGAAAGGCCGGCGAUACAGGGUGACAGCCCCGUACACGAAGGCACACAGGCUGUGAGCUCGAUGAGUAGGGCGGGACACGUGAUAUCCUGUCUGAAGAUGGGGGGACCAUCCUCCAAGGCUAAAUACUCCUGACUGACCGAUAGUGAACCAGUACCGUGAGGGAAAGGCGAAAAGAACCCCGGCGAGGGGAGUGAAACAGAACCUGAAACCGUGUACGUACAAGCAGUGGGAGCCUUCGUAAGAGGGUGACUGCGUACCUUUUGUAUAAUGGGUCAGCGACUUAUAUUCUGUAGCAAGGUUAACCGUAUAGGGGAGCCGAAGGGAAACCGAGUCUUAAUUGGGCGUUAAGUUGCAGGGUAUAGACCCGAAACCCGGUGAUCUAGCCAUGGGCAGGUUGAAGGUUGGGUAACACUAACUGGAGGACCGAACCGACUAAUGUUGAAAAAUUAGCGGAUGACCUGUGGCUGGGGGUGAAAGGCCAAUCAAACCGGGAGAUAGCUGGUUCUCCCCGAAAGCUAUUUAGGUAGCGCCUCGUGAACUCAUCUCCGGGGGUAGAGCACUGUUUCGGCUAGGGGGCCAUCCCGGCUUACCAACCCGAUGCAAACUGCGAAUACCGGAGAAUGUUAUCACGGGAGACACACGGCGGGUGCUAACGUCCGUCGUGAAGAGGGAAACAACCCAGACCGCCAGCUAAGGUCCCAAAGUCAUGGUUAAGUGGGAAACGAUGUGGGAAGGCCCAGACAGCCAGGAUGUUGGCUUAGAAGCAGCCAUCAUU